rnacentral:rRNA from 5 species
AAAUUGAAGAGUUUGAUCAUGGCUCAGAUUGAACGCUGGCGGCAGGCCUAACACAUGCAAGUCGAGCGGCAGCGGGAAAGUAGCUUGCUACUUUUGCCGGCGAGCGGCGGACGG